GACAGAGGGUGCAAACGUUGUUCGGAAUUACUGGGCGUAAAGCGCGUGUAGGCGGCUCUGCAAGUCAGGUGUGAAAUCCCACGGCUCAACCAUGGAAGUGCACUUGAAACUGCAGGGCUAGAGUCCUGGAGAGGAAGGUGGAAUUCUCGGUGUAGAGGUGAAAUUCGUAGAUAUCGAGAGGAACACCGGUGGCGAAGGCGGCCUUCUGGACAGUGACUGACGCUGAGACGCGAAAGCGUGGGGAGCAAACAGG
rnacentral:rRNA from 1 species